UACGAAGGGGGCUAGCGUUGUUCGGAAUUACUGGGCGUAAAGCGUGCGCAGGCGGCUUCUCAAGUCAGGGGUGAAAGCCCAGAGCUCAACUCUGGAAUGGCCUUUGAGACUAGAGAACUUGGGUACGGGAGAGGUGAGUGGAAUUCCGAGUGUAGAGGUGAAAUUCGUAGAUAUUCGGAAGAACACCAGUGGCGAAGGCGGCUCACUGGCCCGUUACCGACGCUCAGGCGCGACAGCGUGGGGAGCAAACAGG
rnacentral:rRNA from 1 species